CAUCUUUGUUGUUACCGUUCUAUAAAAAAGGAUGGCUAAACACUUGUAGGCACGUUGUGAGACUGUAAUUUUACAACAUUGACCCAUUAAAAUUGUGGUGUGGCAUAAGCUCAUAAGUGUACAAAACAAGUUUCUGCUAGGAAGCGUUUUGUUUAUUUUAACAAAACAGCAAUAAUUACAGGGAGAAUGAGUAAAUUAACUGUUAAAAAUAGUGGCUCUGCUAAAACUAGUGGCUCUGUUAGCUGAAAACCUUGUGUUAAACUUAGAAAAUGUAAAAGUGAGAAAUACUCAGUUCGUUGAUUCGUUAUCACAGUGAACUCAAAAUAGUAUAUUGGAACAUAGGUCCUUUUUGUAAUCUUUCGCAUUUUGAAAAAAUCCAUAAAUGGAUCAAGGAAAAAAAAUCUACUUAAUCAUAGAAUUUGCUAACAAAAUUUCACGAGAAUCGGUUAAAAAUUGCGACCUGUACAGGAGAACAUUCGUGGAGAAGUGACUAUUAAGUUCUACAGUAAGCUCAAAAGGCUUGUGUUGUGAGACUUUUGGGUACUUAGACUGUCUAUAAGUUAGACAACUAGAUAUAUAGGGAACACCCUUGACUCAAGGAACAAAUCUGUGCUCAUCACACAAAUAAACCCGGGACCCUCCCCGGCUUCAUAGGCAGAGUCAUACUAUUAUAGUUCACUACUCACUAAGGCCAGACAGAUUGCCUUGUAUGUAAUAGUUGGUAACGAUUCUUAUUAGUACCUAACCUAACCAAGAUGCCUACACUGCCUACAGGGCCUACAAGCACAGUAUAAGGAAGGUGUCUUUUUAGACCCAGUACUCCAACUUCGAACAUUUUAUAACUCUUGUUCGAAAUUCAAAAUCUCGAAAGCAGGGUUGUGCCAAGGCAUUUCUUUUUUUUUUUUUUUUUUAUUCUGGUACAAUCAGAGUGGUAGAUAAGUAUAUAAUAGGCACCUAUACAGCAUGAUUCAGUAGACGUGAGCAGGUUCAAGCCUGCGUAUUCAGUAAGUUAUUAAGCAACUGGUACCAGUAUUUGUGAGAUUAACGUUAAUUUAAUUUUUAAUGUUAAA